CGCAUGCAUGCUCCAGGGAAGGGCCUGUCCCAGUAGCCUUUGCCCUAUCGCCAUAGCGUCCCCAUUUGGCUGAAGUUGACAUCUGACGACGUGAAGGAGCAGAUUUAUAAACUGGCAAAGAAGGGCCUUACUCCCUCACAGAUCGGUGUGAUCCUGAGGGACUCACAUGGCAUUGCACAAGUACGUUUUGUGACAGGAGAUAAAACCUUGAGAAUCCUUAAGUCUAAAGGACUUGCUCCUGAUCUUCCUGAGGAUCUCUACCAUUUAAUUAAGAAAGCGGUUGCUGUUCGAAAGCAUCUUGAGAGGAAUAGGAAGGAUAAGGAUGCUAAAUUCUGCCUGAUUCUGAUAGAGAGCCGAAUUCAUCGAUUGGCUCGAUAUUACAAGACCAAGGGAGUUCUUCCUCCCAACUGGAAGUAUGAGUCAUACACAGCCUCUGCGCUGGCUGCGUAAAUUUGUCUAUGAACUCAAGCAAUAAAAUCAUUGUUUAACUAAAAAAAAAAAAA